rnacentral:rRNA from 1 species
UACGUAGGGUGCGAGCGUUGUCCGGAAUUAUUGGGCGUAAAGAGCUCGUAGGCGGCUUGUCGCGUCGGAUGUGAAAGCCCGGGGCUUAACUCCGGGCCUGCAUUCGAUACGGGCAGACUAGAGUUCGGUAGGGGAGACUGGAAUUCCUGGUGUAGCGGUGAAAUGCGCAGAUAUCAGGAGGAACACCGGUGGCGAAGGCAGGUCUCUGGGCCACUACUGACGCUGAGAAGCGAAAGCAUGGGGAGCGAACAGG